CCCUUGUUACUUAGCUGGUAAAGAAUCUGCCUGCAAUGCAGGAGACCUGGGUUCGAUUCCUGGGCUGGGAA
rnacentral:tRNA from 1 species